CCCUGUUUGUAUUUUCAUAGAUUUCUUUAAUGGAUUAAUUCAUUUCUUCGUUAUGGACCCCUAACAUAUUCAUAAAGAUUAUUUUGAAAUCCUUGUCUUGUACUUCCGCUAUAUUUGCCUUUCUCAGGCCCUACUGUGACAGGGUUGCAGGGCUUUAAUGGAGAUAUGUUGUCCUGGCUUCUUUAAUUGUAUUUUUACACUGGUAGCUAGGCAUCUGAGUUUGUGGUGAUUGUAAUUCUAGAUGCUAAAAUCUGGUCUUGUCUUUGUUGAGUGGCUGUUUUGUUCCCUUAGUUUCUGUUGCCUUUUGGGGUGCUUAGGAGAAUGUGGCGCCAGUGGGUCAUCUGGUGGGGAAUGCUUCUUAGAUCCUGCUAGGUAUGGCUUCUGGAUGCUCUGGGUUGAGUGAUUUUCUUGGUAUUGGGAGCUGACACUUAGGGAUGGAGACAAGGUAGGAGUCUACAGGAUGGAAGACAGGAGGGUGUGCCACCAGGAUCUGCUUAGUUCCCUGAGAAUGGGAACAGAGAAGGAGUGGGAGCCACAGCAGGUGGUUUGCUCCAGAGUAGCAAUGAGGGUCAGCAUAUUUACUAAGGCAGAUCCAAGACUACAUCUAAAGUCAUAAUGCUGGAUUUGUGACGUCACUCUCAAUUGUUUCCAGAUGGUUUCUCAGGCUGAUCAAAAAGAAGAUGAGGCCAGUGAAUGUGAGUGGGAAAGUAGAUCUUCAAACAGAAAGAGGGUUCAGGAAUAAAAAGUAUAGUAAUAAUAACAUGAAGAUCACAAAACAACCGUAGGUAAAGUAAAUUGCCUUUUCCCUCUGUCUCAAAACAGGGUCUUUGAUCAAUUGUUCCAGUGUAUAAAAAUUUGAACUCUAAAGAAGCCAGGCAGGCUUCUAAAACCCACACAUCAAAAGCUUUGCUUCCGUUAGAGAAAUUUAAAGCCAUGAUACUCUGAAUGGGUUUGAAAUUCUCUAAAAUGAGUUCUAAUAACACCCUUCGCAGACAGAAAGGGAAGAACAGUCAGUUACAUGGCUUCAUGCUACCAUUUUCUCUGGUACAUUAGUUUUCCAAAGAUGCCAUUUUGGCUUGUACCAAAUAAGAGGGCAAAGGUUACCAAAUGGAAGCACGGGGAAGCCAGAAACCAGAACAGCCCUCACAAUGGAAAGGGAAUCCAAGCUGUCAGCUCUGAAUAGAGAGAAAUUGUAUGUGUGAAAUUGACAACCAGCAGCGGUCUGGCACCAUCAGAGAGGCCAGGAAAUUAACUCAACCGGGUUCCUACUUACUGGAUUAGAGCUGGGGUUCUGUCGAGAUGUACUCAAGCUUCACACCUAGAAAUCUCUAGCCCCUUGGUCACACUGGCAGUGUCAGGUUUUAGUUGGAAAGCAUUCUAAACAAAUAAAGUAUCAGUGAGAACAAUUUCUAAUGAUACAGAAAAAACAAGAAGAAAUACAAACUACCUCUUAAGAACUGUUAACAAUGGAUGCAUCUGUCUUUUCAUGCACAUUGCUUUACCAGCUGGAAGCCAAUUUGUGUAUAUAAUUGUUUUUGUGUUUUUGUGUUUUAGCUUACUUAGUACUAUAUAAGUUUUUGGUUGAGGGAGACAAAAAUCACAGUCAACAAUCAGGGUGCAAGUAGAUGAAGUUAGUCAGAGCGUGAUGGCUGGCUCCUUCUCUACAGAAAUAGCAGAGAGAAAGGGACAAUACAAAAAUGGUGGAAACUGCAUCUGGGACAGACUGUGGCAUACAUUCAUCAUGACAUACAUUGUUUUAUCACAACAGAAAAGAAACAAAAUGAACACAUACCCCAGGAAUGGACUUGCUGAGAAAGGAAUCACAAAGCAAUUCAUUCUCAAUAGGCUCAAAGAGAAAAAGUGUGUGUGUGUGUGUGUGUGUGUGUGUGUGUGUGUGUGUGUUUUAUACCUAGCUCAAGGGGGUGGGGGGAAUCUCUACUAUGAAGAUUGCAAAACACAGAAGAAAUUAAAGAAGACAUUAGAAGACAUACUUUUCAUACUUGUGGAGAAUUCAUAUUGUUACAAGAGCAUACUAGCAAAAGUAAUCUACAGAUUCAGAGCAAUUCCCAUAGAAGUUCUAAUAACACUCUUCACAGAAAUGAGGAAACAAAUCCUAAAUUCAUAUGUAACCCCAAAAGGCCCCGAGUAGCCAAGGCCAUCCCAAGUCAAAAGAAAAAUGUCAGAUAUCCACAGUACCUAUUUUAC